rnacentral:rRNA from 1 species
UACGGAGGGUGCAAGCGUUAAUCGGAAUUACUGGGCGUAAAGCGCACGCAGGUGGCUGAGUCAGUCGAUUGUGAAAGCCCUGGGCUUAACCUGGGAAUUGCAGUCGAUACUACUUAGCUAGAGUAUGGGAGAGGGCAGUGGAAUUCCCGGUGUAGCGGUGAAAUGCGCAGAUAUCAGGAGGAACACCAAUGGCGAAGGCAGCUCGCUGGGACGUGACUGACGCUGAGACGCGAAAGCGUGGGGAGCAAACAGG